AGCAGUCGCCACGGUAAUACGUAGGUCCCGAGCGUUGUCCGGAUUUAUUGGGCGUAAAGCGAGCGCAGGCGGUUUGAUAAGUCUGAAGUAAAAGGCUGUGGCUUAACCAUAGUAUGCUUUGGAAACUGUCAAACUUGAGUGCAGAAGGGGAGAGUGGAAUUCCAUGUGUAGCGGUGAAAUGCGUAGAUAUAUGGAGGAACACCGGUGGCGAAAGCGGCUCUCUGGUCUGUAACUGACGCUGAGGCUCGAAAGCGUGGGGAGCAAACAGGAUUAGAUACCCCUGUAGUCCCUGUCUCUUAUACA
rnacentral:rRNA from 1 species